GAUGAACGCUGGCGGCGUGCUUAACACAUGCAAGUCGAACGGUGAAAGAGGAGCUUGCUCCUCUGGAUCAGUGGCGAACGGGUGAGUAACACGUGAGUAACCUGCCCCAGACUCUGGGAUAAGCACUGGAAACGGUGUCUAAUACCGGAUACGAGCUUCAGCCGCAUGGCUAGGAGCUGGAAAGAAUUUCGGUCUGAGGUGGACUCGCGGCCUAUCAGCUAGUUGGUGAGGUAAUGGCUCACCAAGGCGACGACGGGUAGCCGGCCUGAGAGGGUGACCGGCCACACUGGGACUGAGACACGGCCCAGACUCCUACGGGAGGCAGCAGUGGGGAAUAUUGCACAAUGGGCGCAAGCCUGAUGCAGCAACGCCGCGUGAGGGACGACGGCCU
rnacentral:rRNA from 1 species